rnacentral:rRNA from 1 species
UUGGAAACGAACGCUAAUCCGCCAUGAUAUUAUUGAGCUGCAGGGCUUGAUAAUCAAAGGAGCAAUCCGCUGAAAGAUGGGCUCGCGUCCGAUUAGGUAGUUGGCGGGGCAACGGCCCACCAAGCCGACGAUCGGUAGCCGGACUGAGAGGUUGAACGGCCACAUUGGGACUGAGACACGGCCCAGACUCCUACGGGAGGCAGCAGUGAGGGAUAUUGGUCAAUGGGGGAAACCCUGAACCAGCAACGCCGCGUGAGGGAAGACGGUUUUCGGAUUGUAAACCUCUGUCCUCUGUGAAGAUGAUGACGGUAGCAGAGGAGGAAGCUCCGGCUAACUACGUGCCAGCAGCCGCGGUAAUACGUAGGGAGCAAGCGUUGUCCGGAUUUACUGGGUGUAAAGGGUGCGUAGGCGGCUUUGCAAGUCAGAAGUGAAAUCCAUGGGCUUAACCCAUGAACUGCUUUUGAAACUGCAGAGCUUGAGUGGAGUAGAGGUAGGCGGAAUUCCCGGUGUAGCGGUGAAAUGCGUAGAGAUCGGGAGGAACACCAGUGGCGAAGGCGGCCUGCUGGGCUCUAACUGACGCUGAGGCACGAAAGCGUGGGUAGCAAACAGGAUUAGAUACCCUGGUAGUCCACGCUGUAAACGAUGAUUACUAGGUGUGGGUGGACUGACCCCAUCCGUGCCGGAGUUAACA